rnacentral:tRNA from 1 species
GCUCAGUCAGUUAAGUGUCUGACUCUUGAUUUCAGCUCAGGUCAUAACCCCAGAGUUGUGGGAUCGAGCCCCACACUGGGCU